AGAGUUUGAUCAUGGCUCAGGAUGUACGUUAGUAGCUUGCCUAACACAUGCGAGUCGAGCGGAAAGCAAUAGCAAUAUUGCUUCUAGCGGCGAACGGGUGAGUAAUACUUAUCUUACCUACCAUUCAGUGGGGGAUAACCAAAGGAAGCUUUGGCUAAUACCGCAUAUUCUGGCUUCGGCCAGGAAAGGAUUUCGAUUCGCUAAAUGAUGGGGAUAAGGCGUGUUAGCUAGUUGGUGGGGUAAUGGCCUACCAAGGCCAAGAUGCGUAGCCAAACUGAGAGGUUGACUGGCCACAAGGGAACUGAGACACGGUCCCUACUCCUACGGGAGGCAGCAAUGAUGAACCGUCGGCAAUGGGGGCAACCCUGACCGCGCAAUGCUACGUGAAGGAGGAAGGUCUACGGAUUGUAAACUUCUUUACCAGAGGGUACUGACGCAAGAAUUACCCUUUAGCAAAAAGUCACGACUAACUAUGUGCCAGCAGUCGCGGUAAGACAUAGGCGGCGAACGUUAUCCGGAAUUAUUGGGCGUAAAGGAUGCGUAGAUGGUAGAAUAAGUUAGCGGUGGGAAAUCGAGGCUCAACCUCGUGGAAGCUGGUAAUACUAUCGUGCUAGAGUGUAGGAGAGGUUAACGGAACUNCCCCGUGGAGCGGUGAAAUGCAUAGAUAUGGGGAAGAACACCAAUAACGGCGAAGGCAGUUAACUAUUCUACUACUGACAUUGAGGCACGAAAGCGUGGGGAGCAAAAAGGAUUAGAUACCCUUGUAGUCCACGCCCUAAACGAUGAGUACUAGAUAUUGGGGAACUUGAUUCUCAGUGUCGCUGGUAACCCGGUAAGUACUCCGCCUGGGUAGUACGGUCGCAAGGCUGAAACUCAAAGGAAUUGACGGGGACUCGCACAAGCAGUGGAGCAUGUGGUUUAAUCCGGUACGACGCGUAGGACCUUACCAAGGCUUGACAUGUUCGGCAAAGUUGCUGAAAGGCAAUAGAGGUUAUCCGAACACAGGUGCUGCAUGGCCGUCGUCAGUUCGUGCCGUGAGGUGUAUGGUUAAGUCCUAUAACGAACGCAACCCUUGGGCUUAGUUACCAGCAUUCAGUUGGGGACUCUAAGCCGACUGCCCGAGUAAUCGGGAGGAAGGAAAGGAUGACGUCUGGUCGUCAUGGCCCUUAUGCCUUGGGCGACACACGUGCUACAAUGGUUAAGACAAAGCGUUGCCAACCCGCGAGGGGGAGCCAAUCGCAAAAAAUUAACCUCAGUUCGGAUUGGAGGCUGCAACUCGCCUCCAUGAAGUCGGAAUUGCUAGUAAUCGCAAAUCAGCCAUGUUGCGGUGAAUACGUUCUCGAGCCUUGUACACACCGCCC
rnacentral:rRNA from 1 species